AAUGAACGCUGGCGGCGUGCCUAAUACAUGCAAGUCGAGCGACCGGACGAUAAGCUUGCUUUUUUGCUGUUAGCGGCUGACGGGUGAGUAACACGUGGAUCACCUACCUCUAUUUCUUGGAUAACUUCGUGAGACCGCUUCUACUACCGGCUCAUAUUUUGUACCGCAUAGUUCAAAAGUGCAUGACGCUCUUGCUGUCUCUUAUAGAUGGUUCCGCGCUGCAUUAGCUAGUUGGUAAGGUAACGGCUUACCAAGGCAACGAUGCAUAGCCGACCUGAGAGGGGGAUAGGCAACACGGGAACUGAGACAGGGCCCAGAUUCCUAGGGGAGGCAGCAGGAGGGAAUCUGCCGCAAUGGGCGAAAGCCUGACGAAGCAACGCCGGGUGAGGGAUGAGGGUCUUCGGAUCGUAAAACUCUGUUAUGAGGGAAAAAAACAUGUGUAAGUAACUGUGCACAUCUGGACGGAACCAAAGCAGAAAGCCACGGCUAACUACGG
rnacentral:rRNA from 1 species